UCUCUGCGGUAGCUUCUUUUUAGGAGCCAUUUCAAACAAGAGAGACUUGCAAACAGCUUAGAAGACCUAAUGAGAGGUAAAGUGGAAAGGAUUUUAGAGAAAAAAUAAGAAUUUUAGGGAGAUAAACUAUCGAUUUGGAGAAGAGGGUUUGAAGCUAGGGUAAGCUUGAUCCGCCCAAACAAAGAAGAAAAAGAAAAGAGAUUUAGUUCCUAAAAGGGCGAUUUGAAGGGGAAACCCGAUGGGAAGAGAGAUUUUAAGAGAAUUUUUGCGAUUAAGAGAGUGGAGAGUGAGGAAAUUUUUAUUCGGUGGG
rnacentral:lncRNA from 1 species